rnacentral:rRNA from 1 species
AACGUACGCUGGCGGCACGCCUAACACAUGCAAGUCGAACGAAGUAGCAAUACUUAGUGGCAGACGGGUGAGUAACAUGUAGGUAUCUGCCCUUUGGCCUGGAAUAACACGAGGAAACUUGUGCUAAUACCGGAUAAGUCUUUACGGAGAAAGCUUUAUGCACCAUUGGAUGAGCCUGCACUUGAUUAGUUUGUUGGUGGGGUAAUGGCCUACCAAGACUGUGAUCAAUAGCUGAUUUGAGAGGAUGAUCAGCCACAUUGGGACUGAGACACGGCCCAAACUCCUACGGGAGGCAGCAGUGGGGAAUCUUGCACAAUGGAGGAAACUCUGAUGCAGCGAUGCCGCGUGAGUGAAGAAGGCCCUUGGGUUGUAAAGCUCUUUCGUCGGGGAAGAAAAUGACUGUACCCGAAUAAGAAGGUCCGGCUAACUUCGUGCCAGCAGCCGCGGUAAUACGAAGGGACCUAGCGUAGUUCGGAAUUACUGGGCUUAAAGAGUUCGUAGGUGGUUGAAAAAGUUAGUGAUGAAAUCCCAGAGCUUAACUCUGGAACUGCCAUUAAAACUUUUCAGCUAGAGUAUGAUAGAGGAAAGCAGAAUUUCUAGUGUAGAGGUGAAAUUCGUAGAUAUUAGAAAGAAUACCAAUUGCGAAGGCAGCUUUCUGGAUCAUUACUGACACUGAGGAACGAAAGCAUGGGUAGCGAAGAGGAUUAGAUACCCUCGUAGUCCAUGCCGUAAACGAUGUGUGUUAGACGUUGGAAAUUUAUUUUCAGUGUCGCAGGGAAACCGAUAAACACACCGCCUGGGGAGUACGACCGCAAGGUUAAAACUCAAAUGAAUUGACGGGGACCCGCACAAGUAGUGGAGCAUGUGGUUUAAUUCGAAGAUACGCGCAGAACCUUACCAACACUUGACAUGUUCGUCGCGACUCUAAGAGAUUAGAGUUUUCGGUUCGGCCGGACGAAACACAGGUGCUGCAUGGCUGUCGUCAGCUCGUGUCGUGAGAUGUUGGGUUAAGUCCCGCAACGAGCGCAACCCUCACUUUUAGUUGCCAUCAUUAAGUUGGGCACUCUGAAAGAACUGCCAGUGAUAAGCUGGAGGAAGGUGGGGAUGACGUCAAGUCCUCAUGGCCCUUACGUGUUGGGCUACACACGUGCUACAAUGGUAUCUACAACAGGAAGCAAGACUGCGAAGUUAAGCAAAUCCCUAAAAGAUACCUCAGUUCGGAUUGCACUCUGCAACUCGAGUGCAUGAAGCUGGAAUUACUAGUAAUCGUGGAUCAGCGUGCCACGGUGAAUGCGUUCCCGGGUCU